rnacentral:rRNA from 1 species
AUGGCAACGGAGGCCUCAGCAUCUGCGUGCCAGCACGGCGUCCGCAUCGUGUCUCGGCGAAUGGUGCGGCCGGCAAGCGACGGGGAGACGACGACGACGAAACCAAAGUCCACUGAGACGGUGCACCUCACGCCGUGGGACCUGCAGAUGCUCACCGUCGACUACAUCCAGAUGGGCGUCCUCCUGCCCCGGCCACCGACGCCGACGACGGCAGAGCACAUGGUGGACCACCUCGCGCAGUCCUUGGCGCGCGCACUGGCACGUUUCUACCCCUACGCCGGCCGGCUCGCCACCGAGGAACACACCGGCGGCAGCGGCAAAGGCGUCACCGUUUCGCUGCAAUGCACCGGGGACGGCGUCGAGUUCGUCCACGCCGUGGCGGCAGACACAACCGUCGCCGACGUGGCUGGCUCGCUGCGUAUCCCUCGCGUGGUCUGGUCCUUCUUCCCUCUCAACGGGCUGGUCGGCGCCGACGCCGCCGUGGCCAGCAGCCCCCGCAUCCCAGUCCUCGCGGCGCAGGUCACCGAGCUCGCAGACGGCGUGUUCGUGGCCAUGUCGCUCAACCAUGGCGUCGCGGACGGGACUGCGUUCUGGCACCUGUUCAACACGUGGUCCGAGAUCAGCCGCAGCAGCGAGGCGAUCACCACGCCGGAGCCCGUGCUGGGGCGGUGGUUCCCGGACGCCUGCCCGGUUCCCGUGCCGCUUCCAUUCCCGACGCUGGAUCACGCCGUGCGGCCGUUCCAUAGCCCACCCGUGGAGGAAUGCUUCUUGGCAUUCUCCGCGGAGAGCAUCAGGAGCCUGAAAGCGAGAGCCAACGCCGAGAUAUCAGGCACGGCCACCGUCUCCUCGCUGCAGUCCCUGCUAGCGCACCUAUGGGUCGCCGUGACCCGCGCCCGGCGCCUCCGGCCGGAGCAGGAGACCUCCUACACGCUGGCGGUGAGUUGCCGGGGUCGAGUGAAGCGCGUGCCCCAGUUAUACUCGGGCAACUCCAUGGUGCGGUGCGCGACGGCGAAGGUGGCCGCCGGCGAGCUCCUGCGCGGUGGCCUGUGUCCGGCGGCGUGGCGGCUGAACCGCGCGGUGGCGUCGUGCGAUGAGGCGGCCCUGGUCGGGUCCACGGUGGCGUGGCACGCGGAGCCACGGUUCGCGUACCUGGUCGGGUGGUGGGACCCGGCGCUGCUGGUGACGGGCAACUCGCCGCGGUUCGACGUGUUCGGUAACGACUUUGGGUGGGGGAGGCCGGUGGCGGUGCGGAGCGGCGGCGGGAACAAGGUUGACGGAAGGGCCACCGUGUAUGAGCUGGGGCGCGGAGGUGGCAUCGGGAUGGAGCUCUGCCUGGCUCCGGAGGCUCUUGCAAGGCUCAUCGCGGACGACGAGUUCAUGGCCGUGGUGAACCAAGGCCAAUAG